rnacentral:misc_RNA from 1 species
AAAGUCGUAACAAGGUUUCCGUAGGUGAACCUGCGGAAGGAUCAUUAAUGAAAUACCAAAUAAUAAGGCGAGGGGAAAGGAGGGAGCUGUCGCUGGCCUUUCGCGAGGCAUGUGCACGCUUUCUUUAGAACCUUCGUCGUAUGGGCGCGGGGCGACCCCCGCGUCUUCAUAUACCUCUUCGUGUAGAAAGUCUUUGAAUGUUUUUUUAAAAUCAUCGAGUCGUGACUUCUAGGAGACGCGAUUCUUUGAGACAAAAGUUAUUACAACUUUCAGCAAUGGAUCUCUUGGCUCUC